rnacentral:rRNA from 1 species
UACGUAGGGGGCGAGCGUUGUCCGAAGUUACUGGGCGUAAAGAGCGCGUAGGCGGGUCUUUAAGUGAGGGGUGAAAGGUUCAGGGCUCAACCCGAACACUGCCUUUCAUACUGGGGACCUUGAGUGCGGGAGAGGCGAGUGGAAUGGUCGGUGUAGCGGUGAAAUGCGUAGAUAUCGAUCGGAACACCCAUGGCGAAGGCAGCUCGCUGGCCUGCAACUGACGCUGAGGCGCGAAAGCGUGGGGAGCGAACAGG